AUUGAACGCUGGCGGCAGGCCUAACACAUGCAAGUCGAACGGUAGCACAGAGAAGCUUGCUCCUUGGGUGACGAGUGGCGGACGGGUGAGUAAUGUCUGGGAAACUGCCCGAUGGAGGGGGAUAACUACUGGAAACGGUAGCUAAUACCGCAUAACUUCGCAAGACCAAAGAGGGGGACCUUCGGGCCUCUUGCCAUCGGAUGUGCCCAGAUGGGAUUAGCUAGUAGGUGGGGUAACGGCUCACCUAGGCGACGAUCCCUAGCUGGUCUGAGAGGAUGACCAGCCACACUGGAACUGGGACACGGUCCAGACUCCUACGGGAGGCAGCAGUGGGGAAUAUUGCACAAUGGGCGCAAGCCUGAUGCAGCCAUGCCGCGUGUAUGAAGAAGGCCUUCGGGUUGUAAAGUACUUUCAGCGAGGAGGAAGGCGUUGUGGUUAAUAACCGCAGCGAUUGACGUUACUCGCAGAAGAAGCACCGGCUAACUCCGUGCCAGCCGCCGCGGUAA
rnacentral:rRNA from 1 species